rnacentral:rRNA from 1 species
UACGUAGGGGGCAAGCGUUGUCCGGAUUUAUUGGGCGUAAAGAGCGUGUAGGCGGCUUUACAGGUCCGUUGUGAAAACUCGAGGCUCAACCUCGAGACGCCGGUGGAAACCGUAAAGCUAGAGUCCGGAAGAGGAGAGUGGAAUUCCUGGUGUAGCGGUGAAAUGCGCAGAUAUCAGGAAGAACACCCGUGGCGAAGGCGGCUCUCUGGGACGGUACUGACGCUGAGACGCGAAAGCGUGGGGAGCAAGCAGG